rnacentral:sRNA from 1 species
UCGCAGCCAGGUCAAUACGGUGGCGCU